AAAACAAGAAAAUUAAAAAAAUCUUAAAAUAAGACUAAAAACUAAAAAGAUAUUGAUAAGAAUAAAGAAGGCUUUAUUCUUGCCUCUAUAUAUACUAUCUAAUUAGAAGCUACAUGGUAACUUACUAUAGAAUCUCCAACACAUGUCAAACUUAUAAGACAAGUUUUUUUUAUGUAUGCCACAUAGUUAACUUGUUCUACAAGCUAUUAACAUAUGUGAUACAUGACUAAUUUGUUGGCCAAAUUUCUAGCCUACCAAGUAACUAUAAAAAUUUAUAAAAUCAAAUAAGCAUCUAUAAAGCUUCUUAAAAGAUUUGCCACCA
rnacentral:lncRNA from 1 species